rnacentral:rRNA from 1 species
UAGUGAACCAGUACCGUGAGGGAAAGGUGAAAAGUACCCCGGAAGGGGAGUGAAAGAGAACUUGAAACCGUGUGCUUACAAGUAGUCAGAGCCCGUUAAUGGGUGAUGGCGUGCCUUUUGUAGAAUGAACCGGCGAGUUACGAUCUGAUGCAAGGUUAAGCAGGAGAUGUGGAGCCGUAGCGAAAGCGAGUCUGAAUAGGGCGUUGAGUAUUUGGUCGUAGACCCGAAACCAGGUGAUCUACCCAUGGUCAGGUUGAAGUUCAGGUAACACUGAAUGGAGGACCGAACCGACUUACGUUGAAAAGUGAGCGGAUGAACUGUGGGUAGCGGAGAAAUUCCAAUCGAACUUGGAGGUAGCUGGUUCUCUCCGAAAUAGCUUUAGGGCUAGCCUCAAGUGAUGAUUAUUGGAGGUAGAGCACUGUUUGGACGAGGGGCCCCUCUCGGGUUACCGAAUUCAGACAAACUCCGAAUGCCAAUUAAUUUAACUUGGGAGUCAGAACAUGGGUGAUAAGGUCCGUGUUCGAAAGGGAAACAGCCCAGACCACCAGCUAAGGUCCCAAAAUAUAUGUUAAGAGGAAAAGGAUGUGGCGUUGCCCAGACAACUAGGAUGUUGGCUUAGAAGCAGCCAUCAUUUAAAGAGUGCGUAAUAGCUCACUAGUCGAGUGACACUGCGCCGAAAAUGUACCGGGGCUAAACAUAUUACCGAAGCUGUGGAUUGUCCGUAGGACAAUGGUAGGAGAGCGUUCUAAGGGCGUUGAAGCAUGAUCGCAAGGACAUGUGGAGCGCUUAGAAGUGAGAAUGCCGGUGUGAGUAGCGAAAGACGGGUGAGAAUCCCGUCCACCGAUUGACUAAGGUUUCCAGAGGAAGGCUCGUCCGCUCUGGGUUAGUCGGGUCCUAAGCUGAGGCCGACAGGCGUAGGCGAUGGAUAACAGGUUGAUAUUCCUGUACCACCUAGCAUCGUUUUAAUCGAUGGGGGG